UACGGAGGAUGCAAGCGUUAUCCGGAAUGAUUGGGCGUAAAGCGUCCGCAGGUGGCUAUGUAAGUCUGCUGUUAAAGAGUCUGGCUCAACCAGAUAAAGGCAGUGGAAACUACAUGGCUAGAGUGCGUUCGGGGCAGAGGGAAUUCCUGGUGUAGCGGUGAAAUGCGUAGAUAUCGAGAGGAACACCUGCGGCGAAGGCGGGUUGCUGGGCUGAUACUGACGCUGAGGCGCGAAAGCGUGGGGAGCAAACAGG
rnacentral:rRNA from 1 species